UAGCCGUGUGUUCAGCACAAAGCGAACUAUUCUUUCGCCUUUUACUAAAGAAUACCGUGCGCGGGACACUCCAUCGGCUUGUUCCAAUCUUUGGAUCGCUCUCUCACGAGGGCAC
rnacentral:snRNA from 1 species